rnacentral:rRNA from 1 species
AGAGUUUGAUCCUGGCUCAGGACGAACGCUGGCGGCGUGCCUAACACAUGCAAGUCGAGCGGGGAUAUAGGAAGAGUAAUCCGACUGUAUUCUAGCGGCGGACGGGUGAGUAACGCGUGAGCAACCUGUCCUUGUCUGGGGGAUAAGAAGCCGAAAGGCUUUCUAAUACCGCAUGAGACCACAGCAUCACAUGGUGCAGGGGUCAAAGGAGUAAUCCGGACAGGGGUGGGCUCGCGUCUGAUUAGCUAGUUGGUGAGGUAAUGGCUCACCAAGGCAGCGAUCAGUAGCCGACCUGAGAGGGUGAUCGGCCACACUGGAACUGAGACACGGUCCAGACUCCUACGGGAGGCAGCAGUGGGAAUAUUGGGCAAUGGGCGAAAGCCUGACCCAGCAACGCCGCGUGAAGGAAGAAGGCUUUCGGGUCGUAAACUUCUAUCCCAGGUGAAGAUAAUGACGGUAGCCUGGAAGGAAGCCCCGGCUAACUACGUGCCAGCAGCCGCGGUAAUACGUAGGGGGCAAGCGUUGUCCGGAAUGAUUGGGCGUAAAGGGCGCGUAGGCGGCCUUUUAAGUCCGAUGUGAAAGUCCUGCUUUUAAGGUGGGAAUUGCAUUGGAAACUGGAAGGCUUGAGUGCAGGAGAGGUAAGUGGAAUUCCCGGUGUAGCGGUGAAAUGCGUAGAGAUCGGGAGGAACACCAGUGGCGAAGGCGACUUACUGGACUGUAACUGACGCUGAGGCGCGAAAGUGUGGGGAGCAAACAGGAUUAGAUACCCUGGUAGUCCACACUGUAAACGAUGAGUGCUAGGUGUAGGAGGUAUCGACCCCUUCUGUGCCGGAGUAAACACAAUAAGCACUCCGCCUGGGGAGUACGGCCGCAAGGUUGAAACUCAAAGGAAUUGACGGGGGCCCGCACAAGCAGCGGAGCAUGUUGUUUAAUUCGAAGCAACGCGAAGAACCUUACCAGGUCUUGACAUCCAGUAAAAGCAUCAGAGAUGAUGUGUGAGCUUGCUCAUACUGAGACAGGUGGUGCAUGGUUGUCGUCAGCUCGUGUCGUGAGAUGUUGGGUUAAGUCCCGCAACGAGCGCAACCCUUGUGAUUAGUUACUAACGCGUAAUGGCGAGGACUCUAAUAAGACUGCCGGGGACAACUCGGAGGAAGGUGGGGACGACGUCAAAUCAUCAUGCCCCUUAUGACCUGGGCUACAAACGUGCUACAAU